GUGGUUGUCGUUGCCAUUAUGAAGGAAUUUAUAAGAAGAGAUAGUGCGCAGAGCUUCCUUUGAAAUAGUUUGAUUCACACUUUAGCUGUCACUUUGUGCCAAGAGGUCAUGGGUUCGACGCGGCCUUCUGCAUUCCAUUGUGCAGGGGUGAGGCUUGCGUCGUAUGAUCCUUCCAUGGACCCAACCUGGUGUGGGAUUUUGUAGCACUGGUGUCUGAUGAACUGCUGCUGGGGAUCCCUCACCUUGCCUGGUGGGUUGGAAUUGCAGCAGCAGUCUGCAUCGUGUUGGCAUCGCCUUCGUCGUAUUUCCUCCCGCCCGAGAAGCUACUCAAUUACGAAGCUACAAAGUCGAGCAACAUCGAUGCGGCCAAGGUCUCGUGAUCGGCUGGAACGCGCGAACUUCUGCUGGGGAUCCCUCACUUUGCCUGGUGGGUUGAAAUUGCAGCAGUAAUCCCAUUGGCACCGUAUUUCCCUCCGAUCCACAAGCUACUCAACUAUACAAGGCAGCAAGCUCUCGUGAUCGACUGGGACGCGCUGUACUGUUCUUCAGUUUCGGCUGUCAAACAACAGAGUUCAGUUCAGUUCAGUUCAGUUGUGCAUAGCAGGCAGGCCUUAGUGCACAUGUACUUGCCCUGUUGUUUCUUCUCUCCUUCCUCCCUGCCUUGCAUCACACGCAGUUGCACAAGCGUCUGACGGCGACGGCGCCCCAGCUAGCUGGAGUUCAAUGCUAGAUAUGCCGAUCGAUCGUGUACGGUCGCCUCAUGAACGAAUUGAAAUUGAAACACUCCUAUGGUUU